AAGGUUAGCACUCCCCUUGAUAAGGAUGGAAGAGGCCCUAGUGGCCUAUACACACCUACGGUUAAGGCACUGCCACCUACUUCCUGGCAUCUAACCAUGUUCUUCA
rnacentral:ncRNA from 1 species